rnacentral:rRNA from 1 species
AGUCGAGCGGUAACAGGAGAAGCUUGCUUCUCGCUGACGAGCGGCGGACGGGUGAGUAAUACUUAGGAAUCUACCUAGUAGUGGGGGAUAGCACGGGGAAACUCGUAUUAAUACCGCAUACGACCUACGGGAGAAAGGGGGCAGUUUACUGCUCUCGCUAUUAGAUGAGCCUAAGUCGGAUUAGCUAGAUGGUGGGGUAAAGGCCUACCAUGGCGACGAUCUGUAGCUGGUCUGAGAGGAUGAUCAGCCACACCGGGACUGAGACACGGCCCGGACUCCUACGGGAGGCAGCAGUGGGGAAUAUUGGACAAUGGGGGAAACCCUGAUCCAGCCAUGCCGCGUGUGUGAAGAAGGCCUUUUGGUUGUAAAGCACUUUAAGCAGUGAAGAAGACUCUAUGGUUAAUACCCAUAGACGAUGACAUUAGCUGCAGAAUAAGCACCGGCUAACUCUGUGCCAGCAGCCGCGGUAAUACAGAGGGUGCAAGCGUUAAUCGGAAUUACUGGGCGUAAAGGGAGCGUAGGUGGCUCGAUAAGUCAGAUGUGAAAUCCCCGGGCUCAACCUGGGAACUGCAUCUGAAACUGUCGAGCUAGAGUAUGUGAGAGGAAGGUAGAAUUCC